rnacentral:rRNA from 1 species
GGGUAGUUUGACUGGGGCGGUCUCCUCCCAAAGAGUAACGGAGGAGCACGAAGGUUGGCUAAGCAUGGUCGGACAUCAUGCGGUUAGUGCAAAGGCAUAAGCCAGCUUGACUGCGAGAGUGACGGCUCGAGCAGGUACGAAAGUAGGUCUUAGUGAUCCGGUGGUUCUGAAUGGAAGGGCCAUCGCUCAACGGAUAAAAGGUACUCCGGGGAUAACAGGCUGAUACCGCCCAAGAGUUCAUAUCGACGGCGGUGUUUGGCACCUCGAUGUCGGCUCAUCACAUCCUGGGGCUGAAGUAGGUCCCAAGGGUACGGCUGUUCGCCGUUUAAAGUGGUACGCGAGCUGGGUUUAGAACGUCGUGAGACAGUUCGGUCCCUAUCUGCCGUGGGCGUUGGAAGAUUGAAAGGGGCUGCUCCUAGUACGAGAGGACCGGAGUGGACGCACCACUGGUGUUCGGGUUGUCAUGCCAAUGGCAUUGCCCGGUAGCUAAGUGCGGAAGAGAUAACCGCUGAAAGCAUCUAAGCGGGAAACUUGCCUUGAGAUGAGUCUUCCCUGACUCUUUAAGGGUCCUAAAGGAACGUUUAAGACUAAGACGUUGAUAGGUUGGGUGUGUAAGCGUAGCGAUACGUUGAGCUAACCAAUACUAAUGAACCGUGAGGCUUAACCUG